rnacentral:rRNA from 1 species
UUGACCUACGGGGGGCAGCAGUGAGGAAUAUUGGUCAAUGGGCGGGAGCCCGAACCAGCCAAGUCGCGUGAAGGAAGAAGGUACUUAGUAUUGUAAACUUCUUUUGUCGGGGAACAAAGGCGGAGACGCGUCUCCGGAUGAGUGUACCCGAAGAAAAAGCAUCGGCUAACUCCGUGCCAGCAGCCGCGGUAAUACGGAGGAUCCGAGCGUUAUCCGGAUUUAUUGGGUUUAAAGGGUGCGUAGGCGGUCAGGUAAGUUAGAGGUGAAAGCUCGAUGCUCAACAUCGAAACUGCCUCUGAUACUGU